rnacentral:rRNA from 1 species
AAUAAGGACAUUACACAUGCAAAUCAAACGUUUAUUAUAAAUAAUAUAAUAAAUAAGUGGUGAGAACGUGAGUAAAAAAUAAGGAAUAAUGAACUAUAAAAAAGAUUAAAUAUCUUAUAAAAUGAAAGAAUAUAAAUAAAUAUUUGUUUAUAGUCAAGCCUAUAAUGGUUUAGGUAGUAGGUUAUUAAAGAGUAUAACCUAGCCAACGAUCCAUAAUCAAUAAUGAAAGUUAUAAUGAUCACGUUGAUAUAUUAAAUAUAAUCAAUAUCUAUAUGAUACAGCAGUGGGGAAUAUUAGACAAUGAUCGAAAGAUUGAUCUAGUUACUUAUUAGGAUGAUAUUUU